CGGUGCUCUGCCCGGAGGAGGUGGAGAAAUCCAACGCCCUCCCCCGGAUCUCCGGCUUCCGGGACCAGGCUGACCAGCUACCAGUGCAGAGAUCAUCACAGGCCCCAAUCAUUCCUGGACAGCUGGACCCUCUCCCUGCGAGAUCCCCGGACAUUUUCUUCCUCAGCCCUGGGAGAAGAGCCUCUGGCUGAAUGGCAGCUGUGGAUGACUUGCAGUUUGAAGAAUUCGGUGAUGGAGCCACACUGCUAGCAGCAAACCCAGAUGCUACCACGAUAAACAUCGAGGACCCCAGUGUAUCUUUCAAACACCAGCCCAGACCUCCCGGGAGCUUGGGGAGAGAAGAGGAUGAGGAGCUGCUGGGAACCAAUGACUCUGAUGAGACCGAGUUACUUGCCGGUCAGAAGAAAAGCUCUCCCUUCUGGACAUUCGAAUACUAUCAGACGUUCUUUGAUGUGGACACUUACCAGGUCUUUGACAGAAUAAAAGGGUCUCUGCUGCCGGUUCCUGGAAAGAACUUCGUGAGGCUGUACAUCCGCAGUAACCCAGACCUCUAUGGCCCCUUUUGGAUAUGUGCCACUUUGGUCUUUGCCAUCGCAAUCAGUGGGAACCUUUCUAACUUCCUAAUCCAUCUGGGAGAGAAGACAUACCAUUAUGUGCCUGAAUUCCAGAAAGUGUCCAUCGCGGCGACUGUCAUCUACGCCUACGCCUGGCUGGUCCCCCUGGCCCUCUGGGGCUUCCUCCUGUGGAGAAACAGCAAAGUGAUGAACAUCGUUUCCUAUUCAUUUCUGGAGAUUGUGUGUGUCUACGGCUACUCGCUCUUCAUUUAUAUCCCCACAGCAGUACUGUGGAUCAUUCCCCAGAGAGUCAUUCGCUGGGUCCUUGUCACGAUUGCCCUGGGCAUCUCAGGGUCUGUGUUGGCAAUGACAUUUUGGCCAGCUGUUCGUGAGGAUAACCGGCGUGUUGCCUUGGCCACCAUUGUGACAAUCAUGUUGCUUCAUGUGCUGCUCUCUGUGGGCUGCUUGGCUUACUUCUUUGACGCUCCAGAGAUGGACCAUCUCCCAGCAGCUAUAACCACUCCCAACCAGACAGUAGCAGCGGCCAAAUCCAGCUAAUAGGGAAAGCAGGUCGUGGUAUGUCACAAAUGGGAAGGGUGUAUCAGUUCUGUAUUAGCACCGGGGACCAAAGGCUAGACCCUGUGUCUUUCUGCACAGCAUUCCUACUGCUGGAAGUUCAUUCCAGCUCCACGCGCCUCUCCCCUUAUAGAGUGGAGAAGUGCAAGCCUCUAGAUGCUGGGGUAGCAGGAACCCUGCUCUGGUCAUCACACCCAACCUCUCCAUUCCCACUGCGUUGUCCAGUGGCACAGAAGGGUUUCUACCAUCUCCUAACUGUCCCAGUGAUUUUUCUGCAUUCUGCAAUGUCCCAGGCUGGUCUCUGAAACCCAUGUUGCCCUCUCUAAAGGACCCCUGUAUUUCUCCAAAGGCUUCUGAGAUUAUUUCUCUGUGAAUAGUUAGCUGAGCAGGUUAGAGUGCGAGAAAAAGAUCCAGCUUCAAAACUUAUCCCUCGCCCUCCUGUUCUACUUUCUUAGUGGUUUUUAUUUAUUUAUUUAUUUAUUUGGUUGACGAGUUCUCAUGUAGCCCAGGCUAGCCUCCAAUUCACUAUGUACUGAGGAUGACCUUGAACUUGAACUUCUGUACUUCAUACUUCUGCCUCUGGGUCUCAAAUGCUGGUGUUACAGGUAGGUGUGUGUCAUCAUGUCCAGUAUGCCUUUUUCCCCUUUCCCUGUGGGUGAGAGCCAAACCUGACCCCAGGGCCUUGUAUAGGCUAAGCAAGUACUCAUCAUACACACCAUGACGAAGUGUGUCAGGGAUGGGCACUUACUGAUUACGAUACAGUUUCUCAUGCCAAGCAUAUCUGGGUCUACACCUAGGUUUUACUUUUACAUGAGGGAAGGGGUACGGAGGGCUGAGUGUGGACAUGCAGGGUUCUGUCUGUUUCUUAAAUUUAGCAUUUUGUUGGCCUUUUUCAUGUUUAGCGACUUUUCUAUCCAGCACCACUCUGCCUUGUUCCAGAUGACAAAACAAGAUGGCAGAGUUCCCAGUUUGUUUUUACUCCCUACUGGAGAGUUAGAGGUAAACGUAUUAUCAGGGCUGUUUUCACACUUUCUGAAGGGAAUUAAAUCUUCAGUCGAGAUGAACAUUUGAAAGAUAUCAAAGGGGGCUGGAGAGAUGGCUCAGUGGUUAAAGAGCUCUUCCAGAGGUCCUGAGUUCAAAUCCCAGCAACCAUAUGGUGGCUCACAGCCAUCUGUAAUGAGAUCUGGUGCCCUCUUCUGGUGUGUCUGAAGACAGCUACAGUGUACUUAUAUAUAAUAAAUAAAUAAAUAAAUCUUAAAAAAAAAAGAAAGAUAUCAAAAAGAAAAGAUAAGGCUAUAGUUGGCACCUUCUAAUCCUCUAAGUGCCUGGCCCUUCAUGCAGGGCAGGGGAGGCUUCUUUGUGUAGCACCAGCGCGGGUACUGACCGCAGCAUAGGGCUAUCUGUCAUGACUGUUCUCGCCUAGACUCCCUUGCCACCUCGGGGCCACUGUUCUCAGACCAAGACCUGGUCCUCCCUCACAUAGAUUGAGGCACACUACAUCCAGCAACCACCCAAGACCACUCAGGGAUGACGGGAGCAUGGGAGUCCCCCAAAGUUUGUGUCCCCUCACAGGUUCUGGGUCAUCUCUGUUCCUAUGCUCACAUUUGUCUGAUGCUAUUGCUGGAGUGUACAUACUGGUGACCCUGACACUCUCUGUACUGUGUGUACUCUGCUCCUGUGCUCAGAACAUGUCUGUCUGCCUGUUCGUUAAUAUGUUAAUAUGUUCAGUCAUUUAGCCCUCCAUUUGUCCUCUGUGACUCCCUGGUUGGCAUCAGCUCUUUGAGGACAAGGGUGGAUUUCUUUGUUGGUUGUAUAACCAGGUAUACAGUGAGUGCUCAGUAAAUGUUUGUACGCUCGAGCUCACUGUGGGACAAGAGUCUUUACUCGCUGUCCUGUCUCCCAGGGCAAAGGGGAUGUGCAACCACCAGCUGGUUAGUGGCUAGAUAGGAGAGGAAUGCAAGCUUGCUCCUACCUUGUACUUACAAGGUGUAUUUGAGCCAUAGGUGACUUAUCUAUAACAUAAGGACACAGCCCAUAUGAGAAGACUGUUGUGACUCUUAGAGACAGUGGCAAGUAGGCCCUGUGUGGUAAUGUGAAAGCCACUGUCCCACUGACAGCGGCUGCUCAUUUAUAUUGAAAUGUGGUCGUCUCCCAUUGACUGCUUUGAUAAUUUAGUUCCCUUUUGUAAAGUGUGGGCGAAUUUUCUUUUUUCACUGAGGAAUUCCAGUUGUAAGCCCUUCAAGUUAAUAAGAUGUGAUCAUUAAAGGAGCCUCCUAUGACCUUGGGAAUGGUUCCCUGAGUGACACUGUCCUUUCUUCUCAAGGAUAUGCAGUUUAGAACUAAAGGCGGCCAGAAGAGAAUGGGUCUUCUUCAUCAUCUAUGUGAAUGGAGCCAUGGCCAAAAGAGUAUAGAGUUCCUUACUCACAGCCACCUAAGUUUGGUGGCAGACACACGCCUGUCACACGCUAAUGCACAGAACGAACACUCCCCAGCUCCCUCUCAAGCCGUCUCUUCCCAGCCUGGCCCACCUGCUUGAGGAGGGUGACUGUGUGGUUUGUGGUCACCUGCUGCCGAGAAGCAGAACAGAGCCUUGACACAGGUCUUAGAGAGUCCGCCUCCAAGUUUGCCCAUGCCCUGGGCCACACGCUGCCAUUCAGAAUUUUGUGGCACCUGCUUCUUGACUAUAUGUUGUGCUCAUGUUGAGUCUGACCCUGUGUCUGUUGUUCUCCCCCCAGUUUCUGUGGGCUGGGGAAUCCAGGCGUAGCUUCCCAGGCUUCCUCCUGCCUUCAGGUCCUCUUCCAAGGCUGUGGCUUUGCGCAGGCUGGAGCUGGGGCUCAUCUAAGGCCAGACUUGGGGAAGAAUUUCUUUACCUCUAGGACCAUUGGUAGGGUUCAGUUCCUUGUGGCUGAUGAGAACGAGGGAGGCUUGCAAGCUGUUGUCAGCUCCCUGUCCUAUAGUUCCCUUCAUAUGGUUGCAUACUUCAGCAAAGCCAGAAGUGGGCGAAGGGUCAACAAGAGACUGUUAGCAAGGUGGAAGUCACUGUCUUACAUAGCAUAGACCUGAAAGUGAGCCUUUCCUGUGCUUUACUCUGUUGGUUAGAAGCAAGUCAUAGGUCAAGCCCACACUGACGUGGGGAGGGAGUUAGCUAUACGAGAGCCUGAGACUGCAAGUCAGUGAUACACUUUACACAUUUGCACAUACUCUUGUCAAUCCUUAUGGUAACUAUUGAAACAAGUUUCUGUGGAAAAGCAAAUGGAAGUUCUAGUAUUUUCCUUUCACUUCAUCAGUGGGUUCUUGUGGCUCCCUUAGCAUGGACCUGCCUCAUGUAACUCAUUCUGCAGAUGAACUCCUCUGAUGUUGAUGGAGACAGCCUUGCAGGGCAGAACCUGUCCUUAGGCCAAAGUUCUUGGGGAUGGGACAGAGUCUUAUUUGAUGUGGCCUCUGUAGUAGCAGGCCUGGGGCCUGGCUGGCAUGAGCAGCACAGAUGAGCAGUGCAUGCCGGGAGGGUUAACCAGCCUUUGUGAGGUGAGGGCGUACAUAAAUGAGGGCACACAGGGAAGGUGGUUUCUACACUGAAUGCAGACCUUCACUGCCUCUGCCCUCACUGGGGCAGUUUGAUGAGACCGAGACCUAGAAAGCCUGGUCUGGCCUCUGCCUCAAGUAGCCUAGGUCUGAUAGGUUGGUCUAGCCUAUGUGGUGUGAGAGUCGUUUCUGAAGUGGGUUGUCAGCUGAGCCCUAUAGGGUACAGGAGGCAGUGAUUCGGGCUUCACAGGAGGGUCUGGUUUGAAUUGGGUUCUGAUCAUGAGUACAAGCAACUAGUUACUCAGUUCUGAAAGAGCUGUCCAAGUCUCACAGCUUGGGGAAGGGGACGAUCUGGGCCGUUCAGUGGGACACAGUGGGACUUCAGAGGCAAGCAUCCCUGAGAAGAAGACACCGAGUCCAGCUAGAGAAGGACAGAGCGAACACAGGCAGCCACUGUCUGUCCCCUUGGCCUGACCGCCCACAUCAAGCUCAUGAGGGCUCCAUUGACUGCUGAGCAGGGCCCUAAGCAUUUCAGUCUGAAGGAGCAGGAUGCACUUCUCCUGAUGCUGUCACCCUCCAGACAGUUGGGGCAGGGUCUGGGAAGAGAUUUCCAAUCUGGUCUGCACAGAGCUGGCACCUCUGGGCUGUGCACAGAUCCGUGAGCUGGGGUGGCUCCAUUUAGGUGUCAGGCUUCCAAAUGAGAUAGUGAUGAACAGCCUCUUUGCAGCCUCCCCGGCAGAGCAUCCAUCGCUUUGCCAAUAAGAGGGCCUGCUCAGAGGCCUGGGCACUGCGGAUUUAUGAGCUGGCUAUGCCUUCUCCUGUAAGCUCUGGGCUCCCAGCUUUCACUGAAGAAAAAUGGAUUCGAAUCUCAACAGUAACCUCCCCUGCAUAAAUCUGUGCAGGAGAACGGCUCAGCCGGAAUAGGUUCCUGUGAGAACAUUAACCUCUCCUCUCCCGGGAGCACUGGUCUCCUAGGGGAGCCUCUAAUUACUGGUAAGCAGGAAGCUGCCCCAGAAUAAGUCACUGAAGCAGGGAACAGAGGGUCUUCCAUCUGUCCUUUCUUGUGCACUACCUUAUCACCUGGGCUCAGGGCUGCUUUUCCUGCGUCAGGACCCUGGGAAGGUCCAGAAGCCGUGUGGGAAGGUCUGCUUUGGCUUGUGGGAUUGUAUGAAAGACCACAUCCAGGCUGGGGCACCUUCCCAUCCACAGUGACAAGUAUGAACGCACAGAGGACAGCAGUUAGCACACAGUUCAGACUGCACUGUGAUGAGGGCUUUCAUAAGAUAUACACAUAUGCCUACAUACAUGCAUGUUCAAAAAGAAUAAAAAGUAGUAAGUGCUCAUGGCAUGGGGGAGAGGAAGGACGGCAGCUUAUGAACACACAUGUUCAGUCAGGAGGGUUUUCAAUACGAAGGCCUCUCCAGAAAUCCUUUGUUCAUCUAUGUAUCUGUGAGUGUGUAUGUGUGUGUGUGUGUGUGUGUGUGUGUGUGAGUGUGUGUGUGAGUGUGUGUGAGUGUGUGAGUAAGUGUGUGUAUGUGUGUGUGAGUGUGUGUAAGUGUGUGUGUGUGAGUGUGUGUGAGUGUGUGUGAGAUGGCAAGUGUGAGAGGCCAGAGGACAUCCCGAGGGAGUCGCUUCUCUCCUUCUACCAUGUGGUUUGGAAAUUGAACUGAUAAAGACAACCAGUUCCGUUGUCCUCGGAGCCAUCUUGUUGGCCCAAGAGUUCUUAUUUCCUAAGUUAAAGUACAAACCAUCUCCCCAGGUUUCUGUACAUUAGUUCUUUUAUUAUGAAAUCAGCUUUGACUUUGUACUGUAAGCUGUCUCCCUCCCAUUUUUAAAAAUAUGGUGUGUAUGUGUUGGCAUGUGCCUUUAAUCAAAGCAUUUAGGGGGCAGAGGCAGCCAGAUAUCUGUGGGUUCAAGACCAGCAUGGUCUAUGUAGCAAGUUCCAUGCCAGGUAGAACUACAUAGCAAGACCCUCUCUUGAAAAUAAAUUACUAUUCUACACUAUUUUAAUUAAUUCCUUAAGAAUGUGUACAUUUAUACAGUGUGCUUUGGUCACUUUCACCCUUCGCUGCUUCUCCUAGCCCCCCUCAGGUCUACUCUGCAUGAAUCUCCCAUUAUCUCCCAGCCUGUAUGGUUGGUUUCACCCCCUCACCCUCACUGUAUCCUGUCCUUUUCAUACCAGACAUGUUAGUGGUGGCUUGCUGGAAAACGUCUUCCCAGUCUCUGGACUGCUGCUUUCUCAGUUUUGUUCUCCAGUCCCUCUUUGAGGUAGACUGGAGGACCUGGGAUGCUAACUGGGUCAGCACAAUCAUUUUCUUUUUGACAGUAGAAAGUUUUGACUGAGAGGUUGAACAGGUAGCUGUGGACCUCCAGCCUGACAGGGCAGUUACUGUCUUGAAGUCAGACAGUUGUAAUCAUCUGCACUCACAAGACCCUCAUAAGGUUGGACUGGCUAACAUUCCCAUGUGGAGAAGGGGUGGGACUCACAAGCUCUACCCUUCACCAAGAGUAUCUAACCAACCAACAGUGGCUCACAGAAGAGGCUCCUUCCAUGGUACAACUGGCUGUCCGCUGCCCACAUUUCUCCAGAUAACUGUUGGGAAGGUGCGGCUCUUCUGGACACAGCAUCCACUGUUGGAAAGCAGAAGGCCAGCAUCAGCAGGAAACCAAUUGUCAUCGCACUGAAGCCUCAUCACCUAUUAACAAGAAUUAAUUGUUAGUCUGGGGUGUCAGGCACGUGAUGGAACACUUGCCUCACAUACAUGAGGCCCUGAAAGUAAAAUGCACUGAUGAUGCUU